rnacentral:lncRNA from 10 species
CGGAGCUGCAGUUAGCGCUGCGCGCGUGAGGUGGCGGGGCGGCAGCCGCGCAUCCCGGCCCUGUGGCGUGUUGGGCGUGGGGGAGCGUCCUUACACGUUCCAGGGUGGCUUUUCCCCCACGUCCUCGCUCGGUUUCUGGAAAGGGGGAGGAAACGCUGCAGCUUCUACAGUACUUUUGCUUAAGACAAAGCCAGGGAUCAGGAAUCUCAAAAGAGCGGGGGGCAGAAGGUUUGAGCCGACCCCACCCCGGCUCUCCAUCGGAGCCCCGAGCGGCGCCGUUUCCUGAUGCUGGCUGUGCGUAGAGGCGGCCUUCCUGGGGGGAGGGGAGAACAAUGCUUCCUGAAAAGCCAAAAGUCGUGGAAUUUGGGGGCGGGGCUCGGGCCAAUUAAAGUGUAUUCGUGGAAAAUAAAUCGCAAGAUAGUGGCAGUGAUGAUCUUGGCGUUCAAUCGAUUGAUCUGACUUCCCAGCAGCGAACUGCACACUGCAGCGCGAAAGCAGGAAACUGGCAUUACGUCAGAAGACAGAAGAGACCCAAAUUGCAACGAUAAGCAAACAGACUCUGAGGAUCCGUGUGUCCACCAGCUGAGAGAAGGUGAGCCCAGGCAGUCUGACUCCAAAGCCUCUUAACUUCUCGCAUUAUCACAGUGGGGAGAGGUCUGGGUGGGGACCUUCCAGGCUCACCUCAUACCAGGAAGGCAAAGACUUUCAUUCAAUCCUGCUAUCCUGUCAACUUCGAUAAACCUAGUCCCGG